rnacentral:pre_miRNA from 1 species
CUAUUAGGUUGGUGCAAAAGUAAUUGCGGGUUUUGCAAUUAAAAGUAACGGCAAAACCCGCAAUUACUUUGCACCAACCUAAUACUUU